GUACUUGCUCCAGCAGCACAUAUAAUAAAAUUGGAAUCAUACAGAGAUUAGUGUGGCCCCUAUGCAAGAAUGCACACAAAUUGUGAAGCAUUCCAUAUUUUU